UUUUACUUGAUUUAGCAUGACAAUUUGUUUGGUCUGCUUCACUUGGCUCUAGCUUUAGAUUCUCCUUUGCUGCUAAAAUCUUGGUUCAUAAUUCGUGCGUUUGAUUUUGGCUUUUCCUUUUUUUCAAUUUUUACUUUAUAUAAUCUCUGAUUUCGUUGUGCCCUUAACGUGUUUGAUAGAAUGCUUCUGAGACAUCCUUGUGACUUCUUUUUUUGUGUGUGUGUGUGUUCAUCGCAGUAACCCUUUCUUCUUGACAAAGACAUGGGAAAAGCUUCUCGGGAUAAAAGGGAUAUAUACUAUCGGAAAGCCAAAGAAGAAGGGUGGCGUGCAAGAAGUGCCUUUAAGCUUCUUCAGAUUGAUGAGGAGUUCAACAUUUUUCAAGGAGUGAAGAGGGUUGUAGAUUUAUGUGCUGCACCUGGUAGCUGGAGUCAGGUUCUGAGUCGUCAACUGUAUCUUCCUGCAAAGUAUUCAGCUGAGUCAAAAGAAGAAGAUCUUCCUCUUAUUGUGGCCAUAGAUUUGCAGCCUAUGGCUCCAAUCGAAGGUGUAAUCCAAGUUCAAGGGGACAUAACUAAUGCUCGGACUGCCGAAGUGGUCAUUAGACAUUUUGACGGUUGCAAGGCUGACCUGGUUGUGUGUGAUGGUGCUCCAGAUGUUACCGGUUUGCAUGACAUGGAUGAAUUUGUCCAGUCCCAACUCAUACUAGCGGGCUUAACGAUUGUAACCCAUAUUCUUAAAGAAGGUGGAAAAUUUAUUGCAAAGAUAUUCCGUGGAAAAGAUACAAGUCUCUUGUACUGUCAGCUGAAGUUGUUUUUCCCAACUGUGACUUUUGCGAAACCUAAAAGCAGCCGCAAUUCUAGUAUAGAGGCUUUUGCUGUCUGCGAAAAUUACUCCCCACCAGAAGGAUUUAACCCGAGAGAUCUGCAUCGUCUCUUGGAGAAAGUCGGAAGCCCUUCAGGUGGAAGCGAUCUCGAUUGCAGUAGUGGUUGGCUCGAGGGACCCAACAAAGUUUAUAUUCCAUUCUUGGCAUGUGGUGACUUAAGCGGUUAUGACUCGGACCGGUCUUACCCACUCCCAAAAGAGGCAGAUGGAUCGUCAUACCGAAGCCUGGACCCGAUUCAGCCUCCGAUCGCACCGCCUUAUAAACGAGCUAUUGAGCUCAAGAAAGCUUCAGCACAAAGCUUCAACUCUUAAAGCUAGGCUAGAUAACAAUAAUAAUGCAAAACAAAGACAAAGAAAGAAGUUUUUCAUUCGAUUCUUAGAAGGCUGUAGUACAAUUUCUGAAACGCUUUUCAACAUUGACCCAAAGGUUGAUACGUUGCUGGGCUAGAGAAGAUGUGGGUUUUGGUUAGGUUAGAGAUUUUUAUUGGCGGUGUUGAAGUUAAACACAGUUUAAAACGUUGUUGACAAAGACACUUUCAUUUUUUUGAAAAAGGAUACCUUUACGUGCA